CGCACAUUGCGCCCAUUAGUAUUCUAGUGGGCAUGCCUGUUCGAGCGUCAUUUCAACCCUUAAGCCUAGCUUAGUAUUGGGAGACUACUUAAACCGUAGCUCCUUAAAGUCAGUGGCAGAGUCUAGGUGUGCUCUGAGCGUAGUAAUUCUUUAUCUCGCUUCUGUAAGCCGCCUAUGGCGAUCGCCAUAAGCCUUAUUUAUUUUAGAAAUGUUGACCUCGGAUCAGGUAGGAAUACCCGCUGAACUUAA
rnacentral:misc_RNA from 1 species